rnacentral:sRNA from 2 species
CCUCCCGGCCCUCAAAGCUUCACAGUAGUAACUCGUCCUAACAGGCGUAUCAUACCACUCUCAGAAAUCUUCUCAUUCCAUCGAACUGCCACUAGCUCACUAGAUAAAUAGUAGGAAUAAUAAAUAGAAUGUGGUCCCAACUUUCCUCCUCAACGAAUAUUGUCCGCCUCCUCUGCCCUUUUGACACCCAGCCGUUGUGAAAGAGCAACCCACGAACCAGCACAUAUUAAUGUACGGAACGCCGUUCUAUCUGCGUUAUCACCGAAUGCUCGACCUAGGGCCCGUUCGACUACACUGUAAUCGACAAAGCCCAGGUUUUCAACAGCAUCACGAGUCAAUAGCUUUUCAAACAAGCAGUGCAGGGGCCCCUUUUUGGGCCAGGUUACAGGCGCCAUAAACGGUCGUUUCUUCAUUCGGUAUACCUCGUCCGUAAUGUACGGCCGAACCGCCUCACGCAGGAUCCAUUUCUCUGUCAUCGACUGCAGGACCGAACCGGCAUGGUCCCAAAGUUCGCCGUUCUGGAGAGCCGCCGUCGCUUGUUUGGGGGUAUAGGCGAUUUUGACACUUGGGGGAAGACCGUCCGCGUACUCAGUGAGGAUAUGAUCCAGGAAUGGUGUGCGUCCCUCAACACUGUGGGCCAUUUCGACGCGGUCUCCCAAACCUGGGAUGAUAAUGUUGGGCAGGCCGCUUUUAUUCCACAUGUAGAGGGAUGUGUGCAGCGGAUGCCAUGUUGAGCGCAUCUUGGCCCGGACUUCACGUGAAUGCGAUGCCAUUACCGUCUUCCUGAUAUCGUACGCAUGGUUACCGUCGCGUGUCCAUGAUGAGUAAAUCUCUGCAGAUGGUUGUGCCAUCAUCGAUAUUACCCUAGGCAUUGUGCAGCCGUUGGCGUCAGAAAGAAAUUCAUCAUCUCCGUUUCCACCGUGAAUGGGGACUCCGAACAUGCGGAAAAUAGCGUUUGUCUCGUCAAAGACUUUCUUUCGCAGCUGCUGGUGGAACUCACCCGAUGAGAGUAGUGAGUCCGGUUGAGUUUGGUCCGGUUCCAGCAGGAGGUCCUGCGGAAAGUAGGCGUAUCCCGCGAAGAGUUCGUCAGCUCCCUCACCUGUGAGGACAACUUUGACCCCAUUCUCUUGUGGAAGCGUCGAUAAUGCAAACUUCGCGACAAAGUUGAGAUCGCUAUUGUGGUGUUCACAAUGGUAUGCCGCGUCAGUAAAGUUUUCCGCUAGGGUGGCUUCGUCAACGACCUUCUUAAUAGAUUCAACCCCCAACCAUUUGGCUGUCCGAUCAGCGACAUCUGUAGAAAUGUGGUGUCAAUCAUCGGUCAUAAACUUUUAUUGUUCGAACGGGGUCACGUACCCGACUCAUCAUAGCCCGACUUCUUUGGAAACUCCACGCUAAAGCACGCCACUCUCGUUGCUGCUUGGCUGCCGAUUUUGACAUGGUCUUGUUUCGCAAGAUGCGUUGCGAUUCCUGCAAUAGAAGAAGAGUCGAUACCGCCUGAUAGAUAUACGCCAACAGGAACGUCCGCGCGAAGUCGCAGCCGGACCGCCUCAACCAGCCGCUCGCGGACUUGAAUUACCAUUUCAUCAAUGCUCCGCGCGUCAGGUUUGGUCUAUGCUGUUGUGAGCUUCAUAAUUGGCCAUUUCAAUCAGGAAUGGUUCUUUACCUUGUCUACAUAGGCUGAAUCCCAGUAUUGAUGUAUUUCAACCCCCGUUUUGGAUAUUUCAAGCCAAUGUCCCGGUGGCACCUUUUUGACACCUUUGAAAUAUGUUCUGUCGUCAACACUCCAACCGCUCUCGACAAUAGACGCAACAUCCCAUUCGGGCUUCCAGCCUAACGGCAAGAACGCUUUUGACUCCGCUGCCAGCAGUAUUCUAUCACCAACAGUCGUCCAAUACAGUGGUUUAAUUCCAAACCUAUCUCUCCCAGCAAUCACCUUUUCGCAUCCCUCGCGGCUGUCGUAGAGCACAAAUGCAAAUUCACCCCGUAGGUGUUUGAAAAACUCCGGACAGCCGUAGAUUUUGUAGAGAGCUAGGACGAGUUCGCUGUCGCUUUGACCAUGGAAUUUAUAGCCGUGAGUUGUGGCACAUAUGUCCCGUAGACGGUCAAAGUCGUAGAUCUCGCCGUUGACAAUGGCGUGGAUUUGCCCGUCAUCGCUGGAGAGCGGUUGCGCGCCGCUGGGGGUCAGAUCGUUGAUGGAAAGUCGGCAAUGACCAAGUCCAACACUGCCAUCCACGUUGACCCAAACGCCAGAGCCAUCCGGUCCACGGUGUUUUAUUUUCUCAAGCGAUGCUUGAAGUUUGCAAGUCAGAGACUCAACAGUGGGGUGGGUGCUACCACUAGCAUCUCCUGACCCACGGCCUAGAGGCAGGGCAAUACUUGCCGUAAUGCCGCACAUUGGGGAUGUCUAUGCUGUAUAUCGAUUCGUUGAUGAUCUUUUUGGUUUGAUUGGCAAAGAGAAGUAUGAUACACAUAUUGAAAAUCACAGUUGCUCGAACGCAUAUAUAUAUAUAAUAUACCCGGUUGAACGGGGACAUCCCAACGUCGCUUCAUGUCCAUAGGCCGUUUUCCAAUCCUGUGUACGUCACGAGGCGCAUGUGGGAGAUCUUUCUGUUUUCCAAGUGGGGGAAUUUCUUUUCACCCCCGCUGAGCCAGUGGUGCAGGAGACUUGUUGAAACAUCGUCUCCCCGCAUUUUCUCGGCCGUUUUGUUCCCACUCUUGGGUUGUCUAAAGAAUGUGCCGUCUCGUAAACGAUCACGUAAUUCACCACGGCCCUGAUAUAGCCUGAUGUGGUGAGCACCAAUUAGAAUAGUGCGGCUUCGACCUUCAUACGUUCAUAUAUCUAGAUAUUCAGUGAUCAUGAGUGAAAAUCAAUCUGUUUUGACCGCUCCAGUCAUUGUUUCUUCACGUAUGAGCAAGUUGAUGGCUGAGGCAUAAGUCCAUAAUAGGAGUGUCAUAUCACAUGCUAAAAGAGUCAACGUCAUUGGUGUGGCCCAAGGUCGCAGUGAAAUAUGUUAACUAAUGGUUUAAAAAACUGCCUUGGAUGCCUGUAUCACACGCUGAUACUUUGGGGGUUUGGAUGGCGUAGUGGUAGGCGCUAUUCAUGGAAUGCUUUUUCCAAGAGGCACUUGGUGUUGGGGCCACCACUGUUGAGACGAGAAGGUAAGAUGUUGUAAUUCUUACACAUCUGUUCAAGUGACAAGGGACUGCUUAGUAUUGCAUGAGUAAUUGUGGGGCACGGACGCUCUUGAGGGCUAGCUCCAGAAUAAUAUAGUGAAGUCUCUUCAUCAAGGAUGACUUGGUUAUGAAUAGAGAAAUGUAAGAGAAAAUAACUGAACAUAAGGAUAGACUAGUGAGGUGAAGGCUGUCACCGUCUCUGACUGCAUUAGCCUUAGAAAAAAUAUGAAGAACAAUAACAACUAUGCCGAUAUUUUGCGGCCGAUGCAGCAAG